rnacentral:rRNA from 1 species
UACGGGGGGGGCAAGCGUUGUUCGGAAUUACUGGGCGUAAAGGGUUCGUAGGUGGCUCGCUAAGUCAGACGUGAAAUCCCUCAGCUUAACUGGGGAACUGCGUCUGAGACUGGCGAGCUCGAGUGCAGGAGAGGAACGCGGAAUUCCAGGUGUAGCGGUGAAAUGCGUAGAUAUCUGGAGGAACACCGGUGGCGAAGGCGGCGUUCUGGACUGCAACUGACACUGAUGAACGAAAGCCAGGGGAGCAAACGGG